rnacentral:sRNA from 1 species
GAUAUUAGACAUUGGAUAAUAAAAGUCCCUGUUAAUUCCUGGAAACCAGCUAAAGAUCUGGAAUUGUUGGAUAAAUAUUUAAUAGCCAAUGCAACUAAUCCAGAGAGUAAGGUCUUCUAUCUGAAAAUGAAGGGUGAUUACUUCCGGUACCUUGCUGAAGUUGCAUGUGGUGAUGAUCGAAAACAAACGAUAGAUAAUUCCCAAGGAGCUUACCAAGAGGCAUUUGAUAUAAGCAAGAAAGAGAUGCAACCCACACACCCAAUCCGCCUGGGGCUUGCUCUUAACUUUUCUGUAUUUUACUAUGAGAUUCUUAAUAACCCAGAGCUUGCCUGCACGCUGGCUAAAACGGCUUUUGAUGAGGCCAUUGCUGAACUUGAUACACUGAAUGAAGACUCAUACAAAGACAGCACCCUCAUCAUGCAGUUGCUUAGAGACAACCUAACACUUUGGACAUCAGACAGUGCAGGAGAAGAAUGUGAUGCGGCAGAAGGGGCUGAAAACUAAAUCCAUACAGGGUGUCAUCCUUCUUUCCUUCAAGAAACCUUUUUACACAUCUCCAUUCCUUAUUCCACUUGGAUUUCCUAUAGCAAAGAAACCCAUUCAUGUGUAUGGAAUCAACUGUUUAUAGUCUUUUCACACUGCAGCUUUGGGAAAACUUCAUUCCUUAAUUUGUGUUUGUCUUGGCCUUCCUGGUGUGCAGUACUGCUGU